rnacentral:lncRNA from 1 species
GAAAACGGGAGCCUUGGAUCAAUCUUAAGAAGUGAUACCUUCAUAAAAGAAUUGAAUUGGUUGAAAAGGGUCAAUAUUGUAAAGGGCGUGGCUAAUGGUUUGGCUUAUAUGCAUCAUGACUGCUCACCACCUAUAAUUCAUAGAGAUAUUUCCAUUGCUAACAUCCUUCUUGAUUCUGAUUAUGAGGCACAUAUUUCUGAUUUUGGCACAUCCAAGCUUUUAAAGCUAGACUCAUCCAACUGGACCACAAUUACAGGCACCUAUGGUUAUAUCGCACCAGGUAAAACAAUCUUGUGAUCUUAGUUCUGCAUCUUCUUAAGUUUCAUGAUAUAUAUAAAGAUGUAUAUGAACAUAUAUGUAUCUAUGUUAGAAUCUUUUGGGAUUGUUAUAACUUUUUUUUUGUUUUUGUCUCGUGUUUCUUUGGAUAUAGAACUUGCUUAUACGAUGGUGGCAACCGAGAAAUGUGAUGUGUAUAGCUUUGGAGUUGUUGCACUAGAAGUGGUCAUGGGAAAGCAUCCUGGAGACCUGAUAACAUCUUUACCAACAUUGUCUGUAGAUUAUUUGGUACCAAAAAAUGUGGGAGAUAGUCGGAUACCUCCUCCCUCAUCUCAAGUUGAGAAACAACUUGAGUUGGUUUUGAGUCUCUCAAGAGCAUGUUUGAACUCCAAUCCACAUGAAAGACCAACAAUGCAACAAGUUUCAAAUAUGUUAAUGAAGGAUCUGCUUUGAAUUGACAUCUCUUGCUUGAUAUAGGCUACUUUAAGUGUCCAUUAUUUUUCGCAAGUUCCGUAUAAUGCACCGUUUCCAUAUGUACUCAUUUGAAUGGCUUUUUGUGAAGAAACUUCACAUUUGUUUGUAGUAGUAAAGAAAUAGGUCAAUGAAGAUUACUAUACAUCUAAAAACACACUACUGGAAACCAAGGACAAUGCCAUACACACAUGCCACUUGGUUAGUAUUACUAUACAAUUUUAUUCUCGCACAACAUGUGGGUACAUGUCUGGUUAAUAUGAUAUAUGGGCCACAACUUGGGUCGUACAUCAUGUUAAUGGUCAUAUAUGUCAUUCAAAUAUACAAAAUAUAUUUUAGAUUAUAUGAUGAGCCAUUAAAGUUAAUGGUCAUAUAUGUUAAUGGAGAAUUUUAUCAAACACAUGGUAUUAUGGAUGAGAUGUGUCUUUAUAAAGAUGGAAAAUUUUAAAUAUUAAGAAAAAAUUUCAAAUAUCAAAGCAAUUUAAAGAGUCUGGAACAUUUUUGACUCACACUCCAUUCCGAGCAUGCUUUUGAGCUAUUGAACUCCAAAUUUGACAGCCAAAAAUAUUUACACAAGAUAACUAACUAAAUAGUUCAACUAAAACAUACAUGAUUUCAGUUAUUGGUAUGCAUUUCACUUCACUUUGAUUUAAAACAUGACUAGAAUAGUUCAUGUGGAUGAGUUUUGUAUAACAUGGAUAUAACAUUAAUUUCAGUUUCCUGGUUUAUGUCUUACCUCCCCUUCAUUUCAUUUCAACAUGAUAUAUAUGGCAUGAGAUGGAUGUAAUUUUAAAUGAUUUUAUGUUCGUUUCACAAAUUAAUUAAAGUUUUGACCAACUAAUUUAGCACCUCAAAAAUGUAACAUCCAUCUUCUAUUGAAGAUACAGAGCAUGAAGGGAAGAAAAAGUUGAAUGUAAAUCUUAGUCAAUCCACAAACCUCUGAUUCAAUCCUCCCAAAAUUAAUAGCUCUGAAUCUAGAAACAAUACUUUGAAUUCCGGCGUUAGAACUAAAACUUUUGCAAGACUUUUCCGAUUCAAAAGACACCCAUACCCACAAAUCACCAACAUAUCUAAUCUUUAAGCUCGAAAAUCCUUCUUCAUGACAUAAUUUUAAAAGAUUAGGAAUAGAUACUGCAUCUCUCACCUCAGCAAAGACUUCCCUUUAUCAGUAAAAGAUGGUCUCUUUUCCUGCUCCCUUUUUUUCUUUGCUGAAUUGGAAUGGAAUGGUUAAAGAUAACCCCUUCUUUUCUUCUAAACCGAGCAAUUUACCAAACCAAAUAUCACAUAACUUCUUCUCCAGUUCUUGAUUAUCUCUGAACUGAAUGAAGCGAACAAACCCGAACCUUCUCCCCAUCUUGGAUCGUUUCUGAGCAAUGUAAAUGUCAACCACCGUUCCUAUCUUCGCACAUCUGUUUUUAAGAUGUUGGCAUCUGUUUGGGGCACUAUUGUUGUUGUAUUCUCUGAUGAUGAUAAGUCCAAUUGUAUUUCAUUAGGGAAGGUUUGCGUUAGGAUAGGGGUGAUGUCAUUUAUUCAGGAGACAAUUAUUGAGGUGAUUGAUCGAAAGGAAUUCUUGGUUCAUAUCAAGGUAACGCCUUUAAUGAGUUCAUUUAUGAAGCGAGUUUGGUGGAUAUUCCUAUGGGCAGAAUUUAGGAAGUUUACUCGAGCUGAUCAAGGUGACAAUAAAAUGAGUCGUCUAGAUAGAUUUUUGGUUUCUGAAAGCUUCAUCGACGUGUUUCCUGAUCUACAUUGCUUGGCUAAAGAGAGACGUUGGUCUGAUCAUUGUCCGAUUCUUUCAUUGGAGGAUGUGUUAGAAUAUGGUCCAAUUUCCUUCGAACUUUUUAAUUCUUGGAUUAUGAUGGAUGGUUUUGUCGGAGAUUGUUCACUUAGCGUGUGAUGAGUUUAUUUCAGAUUUUAGUUGGAGUAGGUUUGUUCAUCUGAAAAAUAAACUUAAAUUUGUUAAAAGCAGAAUUAAGGAGUGACAGUUGCUGAUGUGGGCAUCUAAAGAGGAGAUCCGGGUCUUACAUGUUGCCUCACGUUACCAAAUUGCUGAUAUCUUCACCAAAGGACUUCCAUGAGCUCUAUUUUCUGAUUUUAGAUUCGGUCUAAGCAUCUAUGAUCCUCCUCCUUAGACUGAGGGGUUAUAUUAGACUAGAAAAUCAAUUAUGUAAACUAUGUGGUAGCAAUGUGUAAAUAUUGUAUCUAUAUAUAUUUUCCACUGUAAUACAAGGAAGUGAUUUUUGGCCAUAUCCUAUUAGGGUGUGUACAAUUUUUUUGGGCAGAACUAACAAAUGUUUGGAAACCAUUUAUUUUCUGUAAAUAUUCUUUGUUUUCAAGUACUCUAUGAAAUCACAACACCACACUAUGAACAACCCAUACAGUUGAUGUGGCAUUAAAUUCGAAAAACAAAAAAAAAAAAAACAUUUAGGCAUUUCAUCACACAGUUAAUAUUCAUUGAACUUGCAUGUACAAAUGAUCGUAAACUGUUACUAUUCAUUAAACUCACAUUUGGUUGGAUUCAAAUGAUUUGGUUACUAUUCAUUAAGCUAGAUGUAUUUAGUAGUAUUUAUUAGGAUUAAUUUAAUGGUUAAAAGUGGGUCAAUAGUUGUGUCGUUUGGAAAGUAACUGUCACAUGACAGUUACCAAAACUGUGUAUAAAUAUGUAUGUGGAUUUCGACUGAUCAAUAAAAAAAGUUCAUAUUCUCUUAUUAUACCAAAAAGUCUUCUUCCUUUUUUUUCAUUUAACAUUUGCAGAGAAUACUUCUUGCACUUCUUUAAUUUAAUAUUCAUAUGACCCACUUUUAACCAUUAAAUUAAUCCUAAUAAAUACUACUAAACACGUCUAGCUUAAUAUUCAAACUCGGUCUGAAAGUAGAAUUGUUGGGUGCCUUAUAUGGUCUCUUUGGAAAACACGCAAUUCCGGAGUUUUUAAUCAUCAAGAUAAAACUGGUGCAUUGAUCGAUCCUGUUUCUUCCUUACUGCAUUCUUACAUGCUGUGAGAUGGCUUUCUCCUAUUUGGUUCAAGUUUUGACCAUUUUGCCCCUAGUGUUGGUUUCGCUUUCUCUUUAUCUUCACUAAUAUGUGAAGAUAAGGACCCUAGGAGAGAGAAUUGAUUCAAGAAAUAUGAUGUGCAGAUUAAUUCUAAAGAUUUGUCUGAACUAAUCAGUUGUGGAAAUAUGAGAAAAAAACAAUAAUAAAGUUGUAUUUCACUUUUUAUUUAAUUAUCUUCAUUUUUAAGUGUAUGUGAAAAGGAAUUAACAGAUUGCAGGGAACAAUAAGAACCAUUAGUUUUUAUUAAAUUAUCUUCAUAUUUAUAUUCUUUAGUUUACGGUUUUCCCUCAUUCACACAUUAUGUGGACACACCAUGUCUAUUUGUUGUUUAGAUUCUUUUAAAGGACCCUUAUGUUAUGUCCCUAUCUCUAUUGACCCAUUCACACACUUUUCACGUCUUAAUUAGUUACAGAACUAAUUCUGAAGUAAAAGACGCUUAGAGUGAAAUUUCUAUUAGCAUUUAUCACAAAAACAAAAAAUAAAUAUCUCUAAAUAAUCAAGUUAAGUUAUAUUAUUACAUUGUUAAAUCCAACACUUAAUAACAUAUAAUACCACAUGGAUUCUUUUUGUAAUCCUAGCGUGGGUUACAACAAAAUAUAUUGUUCUAAAAAAAGGAUUAAUGUCAUGACAGAUAGAUACAAAGUGUAAUACACACCUUUGUGGAAAAUUUUGACACGUUAAAAGACACAGCCUUGUGGAAAAAUAUGACAUUUCAUAAAUUUCCUUUACAAGUACAUUAAAAAUAAAACAAGAAAAAGGUAGCUCAAGUAUAAAUUAGGACAUGCAACCCAUUCAUUUUUUUUUUAUUAAAAGCAACAUGGCAAAGAAAAUAAUGUCUUCUUCAAAUUUAUUAUUUUUCUCUCUAACUCUAUUAAUCAUCACACUCUCCCACACACCAAAUUUUGGUUCUGCUUCUUUGGAGGAAGCCAAUGCUCUUCUUAAAUGGAAAGCAAGCCUUGAAAUCCCCAAAAACUCCUUACUCUCUUCAUGGAUUCCCCUCCCUUUGAAUUCCAGUGCAUCGGUUCCAUGCACUUCUAGGUUUGGAGUAGUUUGCAAUGCUGAUAGGAGCAUUCACAGGUUGAACCUCAGUUCAUCCGACUUAAAAGGUACACUCCACCAAUUUCCAUUCUCUUUGCUACACAAUCUUACGCAUUUUGAUCUCAAUACAAACAACUUCUUUGGCCCCAUCCCACCAGAAAUCAGACUCCUUACCAAUCUUGUAUAUCUUGAUUUUUCAAUGAAUAAGUUUUCUGGUUCCAUUCCUGUUGAACUUGGGAAUUUAAAGUCUCUCACCGAUCUUGCGGUGUACAACAAUCAACUUAGUGGUUGUAUUCCUUCAUCAUUUGGUGAUUUGACAUCUUUAAAUGCCCUUUAUUUGUAUGAAAAUCAUCUCUCUGGUCUCAUUCCUGUUGAACUUGGGAAUUUAAAGUCUCUCACAAAGCUUGAGGUGGGCCACAAUCAACUUAGUGGUUAUAUUCCUUCAUCAUUGGGUGAUUUGACAUCUUUAAAUGUCCUUUAUUUGUUCCAAAAUCAACUCACUGGUCCUAUUCCUGUUGAACUUGGGAAUUUAAAGUCUCUCAUUGAUCUUGAGGUAAGCAACAAUCAACUUAGUGGUUCUAUUCCUUCAUCAUUGGGUAAUUUGACAUCUUUGAAUGUCCUUUAUUUAUAUGAAAAUCAACUCUCUGGUCCCAUUCCAGUUGAACUUGGGAAUUUAAAGUCUCUCACGGAUCUUGCGGUGCACAACAAUCAACUUAGUGGUUCUAUUCCUUCAUCAUUGGGUAAUUUGACAUCUUUGAAUGUCCUUUAUUUAUAUGAAAAUCAACUCUCUGGUCCCAUUCCAGUUGAACUUGGGAAUUUAAAGUCUCUCACGGAUCUUGCGGUGCACAACAAUCAACUUAGUGGUUCUAUUCCUUCAUCAUUGGGUAAUUUGACAUCUUUGAAUGUCCUUUAUUUAUAUGAAAAUCAACUCUCUGGUCCCAUUCCAGUUGAACUUGGGAAUUUAAAGUCUCUCACGGAUCUUGCGGUGCACAACAAUCAACUUAGUGGUUCUAUUCCUUCAUCAUUUGGUGAUUUGACAUCUUUAAAUCACCUUUAUAUGCAUCACAAUCAGCUUGCUGGUCCCAUUCCUAGUGAACUUGCCAAGUUGAAGUAUCUCACUGAUUUUCAGGUGAACAACAAUAAAAUUAGUGGUUAUAUUCCUUCAGAGUUUGGAAAUUUAACUAAAUUACAUAGACUUAAUCUGUCUUCGAAUAAUUUGGUUGGUGAGAUCCCAAACGAGUUUGGGAAGAUGAAAAAUAUGUUGGAAUUGUACUUGGCAGGUAACCAUCUUUCAGGUGUUAUACCUGUAGANUGCAGGUAACCAUCUUUUAGGUGUUAUACCUGUAGAGCUUGGAUUUUGUGAACUCCUUGAAGUACUCGAUCUAUCCAAAAAUAGAUUGAAUGGUUCGAUUCCAACAAGUAUCGGACAAUGGGCACAUAUCCACUUCUUGAAUCUUAGUAAUAACAAGCUCAGUCAAAAAAUUCCAUCGGAGAUUAGUACAUUAGUUCAUCUUACGGAACUUGAUUUAUCUCAUAACUUUCUCACGAAAGAGAUACCAUCUGGAGUUCAAAGCUUGCAGAGUUUGCAAAAAUUGGAUCUUUCUCAUAAUAGACUAUCUGGUUCUAUUCCAGACGCUUUUAAAAGUUUGCCUAGCGGGAUUGAUAUCAACCUUUCUUUCAAUAAUCUCUCAGGUCCAGUCCCCCCUUAUGCCAACUUUGUGAAUGCGUCCAUAGAAAGAAAUCCAGAUUUGUGUGGGAAUAUUACGAGAGUGAAACUUUGUCCAACUCAGAUUAUGAAGAAGAAAAAUGAUCCCUUUCAUCAUAAGCUUAUCCUUGUAAUUAUGAUCCCCCUUAUCGGGGCUAUUUUACUUGGUGUAUUCACGUAUGGUCUCGUUUCUUAUCAACAACAAAAGAAAAAGUCUCCACAAAAACCAUUGGAUGAAGAAAGUGGUGAUUAUUUCUCUACUACAACUUUUGAUGGAAAAGUGGUGUAUGUUGAUAUCUUGAAGGCAACAAAUGACUUCGAUGAAGCCUAUUGCAUUGGGACCGGAGGAUAUGGGACUGUGUACAAAGUCGAGCUACAACCUAACAAUGUGGUAGCUGUCAAGAAACUUCACUCAUCAUCUGAGAAAGUUGAUCAUAAUGGAUUCAUUAAUGAGGUGCGAGCAUUAACGAACAUAAGGCAUCGAAACAUAGUGAAACUCUAUGGAUAUUGCUCCCAUGUACGCCACUCAUUUUUGAUUUACGGUACCUUGAAAACGGGAGCCUUGGAUCAAUCUUAAGAAGUGAUACCUUCAUAAAAGAAUUGAAUUGGUUGAAAAGGGUCAAUAUUGUAAAGGGCGUGGCUAAUGGUUUGGCUUAUAUGCAUCAUGACUGCUCACCACCUAUAAUUCAUAGAGACAUUUCCAUUGCUAACAUCCUUCUUGAUUCUGAUUAUGAGGCACAUAUUUCUGAUUUUGGCACAUCCAAGCUUUUAAAGCUAGACUCAUCCAACUGGACCACAAUUACAGGCACC